rnacentral:lncRNA from 1 species
GGUAAGUGCCCCACCUGCCUGUUGGUCUGACACUCAUGACCCUUUCUUGACUCUGCCUAGUCCUCAUGUCCCGCCCCUCCCAUCCUUGCCCGCUCUGUCCGUAGAGUCCCCAGAGUUGUUGGUAUCUCCCAGAGCUAGGGAGUGAGUAUUAGCUUUAGGGCUUAAGAUGGGAAGGCCAUAGCCCUGACUGGAACUUGGGAUAUCUGUGUCCAGAGCUUUAGUGUUGCUCUCUACUCCACCCACAUGCACUGUUCUCUUCUUCCUCUGGGAAGGAUUCUCCAGACCUCCCUGGGCCUAUCACAGUGCCUAUAUAUCCACCAUCUGAGAUCCAUUCCUCCCUUGGAAAGUGAAGCUAAAUGGAACAUUCUUUGGAAGCAGGUUCAGCUCCCCUAUCUCUCAUCUCUGGACUCUAGGACUUCACCUUCCUGGCCCAGCCAGCACUGUCCCUCUCCCUUAUUGACCCAUUUUCCUAUGCCCCAGAGCUGAGUUAGAAUAGCUGGAGGAGAACUUGGCCUAGAACAUGCCCAUUCUCUACCGUGGCCUCCCUAUCCUGGGAAUUGAGAGGGAUUUUUGAGGAGAGGGUUUGGUCUGCUCACAGAGUAACAGGAAAAGAAAGGAAUGAGGGAGUCCUGAGAAGCAGGCUUACUGUGUACUGGUUGCCAAUU